rnacentral:rRNA from 1 species
GACGGAGGAUGCAAGCGUUAUCCGGAAUUAUUGGGCGUAAAGCGUCCGCAGGUGGCUGUUCAAGUCUGCUGUCAAAGCACAGAGCUUAACUCUGUACAGGCGGUGGAAACUGAAGAGCUAGAGUAUGGUAGGGGUAGAGGGAAUUCCCGGUGUAGCGGUGAAAUGCGUAGAUAUCGGGAAGAACACCAGUGGCGAAAGCGCUCUACUGGGCCAUAACUGACACUGAGGGACGAAAGCUAGGGGAGCGAAAGGG